rnacentral:rRNA from 1 species
AGAGCGAACGCUGGCGGCAGGCCUAAUACAUGCAAGUCGAACGGAUCCUUCGGGAUUAGUGGCGGACGGGUGAGUAACACGUGGGAACGUGCCCUUUGGUUCGGAACAACUCAGGGAAACUUGAGCUAAUACCGAAUGUGCCCUUCGGGGAAAGAUUUAUCGCCAUUGGAGCGGCCCGCGUCUGAUUAGCUAGUUGGUGAGGUAAAGGCUCACCAAGGCGACGAUCAGUAGCUGGUCUGAGAGGAUGAUCAGCCACACUGGGACUGAGACACGGCCCAGACUCCUACGGGAGGCAGCAGUAGGGAAUCUUGCGCAAUGGGCGAAAGCCUGACGCAGCCAUGCCGCGUGAAUGAUGAAGGUCUUAGGAUUGUAAAAUUCUUUCAGCGGGGACGAUAAUGACGGUACCCGCAGAAGAAGCCCCGGCUAACUUCGUGCCAGCAGCCGC